AAUGAACGCUGGCGGCAGGCCCAACACAUGCAAGUCGAACGGAUCCUUCGGGAUUAGUGGCGGACGGGUGAGUAACGCGUGGGAACAUACCCUUUGGUACGGAAUAGCCUCGGGAAACUGGGAGUAAUACCGUAUGUGGUCGAGAGACGAAAGAUUUAUCGCCAAAGGAUUGGCCCGCGUUGGAUUAGGUAGUUGGGGGGGUAAUGGCCUACCAAGCCGACGAUCCAUAGUCGGUUUGAGAGGAUGAUCAGCCACACUGGGACUGAGACACGGCCCAGACUCCUACGGGAGGCAGCAGUGGGGAAUCUUAGACAAUGGGGGAAACCCUGAUCUAGCCAUGCCGCGUGAUCGAUGAAGGCCUUAGGGUUGUAAAGAUCUUUCAGGUGGGAAGAUAAUGACUGUACCACCAGAAGAAGCCCCGGCUAACUCCGUGCCAGCAGCCGCCGUAACAC
rnacentral:rRNA from 1 species